rnacentral:rRNA from 1 species
UACGUAGGGUCCGAGCGUUGUCCGGAAUUACUGGGCGUAAAGAGCGCGUAGGUGGUUUGUCGCGUUGUUCGUGAAAUCUCACAGCUCAACUGUGGGCGUGCGGGCGAUACGGGCAGACUGGAGUACUGCAGGGGAGACUGGAAUUCCUGGUGUAGCGGUGGAAUGCGCAGAUAUCAGGAGGAACACCGGUGGCGAAGGCGGGUCUCUGGGCAGUAACUGACGCUGAGGAGCGAAAGCGUGGGGAGCGAACAGG